rnacentral:hammerhead_ribozyme from 2 species
CGGCGAAACCGUCCAUUCGCGACGGUCCACGGGAUUGGCAUUCCCGUGCUGAUGAAGCCUGCCAUGA